rnacentral:RNase_P_RNA from 2 species
CGAGCCGGCCGGGCGGUCGCGUCGGGAUCCUUCGGGAUCCCGCCGAGGAACGUCCGGGCUCCACACGGCAGGGUGGUGGGUAACGCCCACCCGGGGUGACCCGCGGGACAGUGCCACAGAAAACAGACCGCCGGGAGCCGCGAGGCUUCCGGUAAGGGUGAAACGGUGGUGUAAGAGACCACCAGCGUCCGAGGUGACUCGGACGGCUCGGUAAACCCCACCCGGAGCAAGGUCAAGAGGAGCCGCCCAGGCGGCUCUGCGCGGACGACCGAGGGCUGCCCGCCCGAGUCCGCGGGUAGACCGCACGAGGCCGGCGGCAACGUCGGCCCUAGAUGGAUGGCCGCCGCCUCAGGGGCCGCGAGGGCCCUGAGGAACAGAACCCGGCGUACAGGCCGACUCGUCCG